rfam:Halanaerobium kushneri strain ATCC 700103 genome assembly, contig: Ga0104713_139
GAUAGAGUAGGCAGGAGGCGUAGAGUGUUCAGAGAUGGGACGUUGCUCUGAAACGAAAGCUUUUAGCUGCGGUCUCCCUGUCGCGUCCGCUGUC